CGCGAAGAACCUUACCAGGUCUUGACAUCCUCUGACACUCCUAGAGAUAGGACGUUCCCCUUCGGGGGACAGAGUGACAGGUGGUGCAUGGUUGUCGUCAGCUCGUGUCGUGAGAUGUUGGGUUAAGUCCCGCAACGAGCGCAACCCUUGAUCUUAGUUGCCAGCAUUAAGUUGGGCACUCUAAGGUGACUGCCGGUGACAAACCGGAGGAAGGUGGGGAUGACGUCAAAUCAUCAUGCCCCUUAUGACCUGGGCUACACACGUGCUACAAUGGAUGGUACAAAGGGCAGCAAAACCGCGAGGUCGAGCAAAUCCCAUAAAACCAUUCUCAGUUCGGAUUGUAGGCUGCAACUCGCCUACAUGAAGCUGGAAUCGCUAGUAA
rnacentral:rRNA from 2 species